UGUUACUUUUAAUUAGAAAAUUUUGGAAUAAUAAUAGUUAUGAAAUUUAACGGAUUUGGCGGCAAGAUAGCCCCUUAGAGGAACCUGCCCUGUAAACGAUGAACCACGAGUACUUUACUUUCUUUAGUAAUUCAGUUUGUAUAUCGCUGUUGUCAGUUAGAUUCUUGAGAAUAUUUUCGAACUUGAUAAAUUCAUUGACUUCAAGUAAAGGUGCAGCUUAUAGGAAAGAUAGAGGUGGGUUACAUUUAUUAGAUUAAUACGGAUUAGAUGAAAGAAUGAGUCUAUGAAGGUGGAUUUAACUGUAAAACUGAUUUAAGUUUGGUGAGAGCUC
rnacentral:rRNA from 1 species